UACGGAGGAUGCCAAGCGUUAUCCGGAUUUAUUGGGUUAAAGGGUGGCGUAGGCGGCCUGUUAAGUCAGGGGUGAAAGACGGUAGCGUCAAACUAUCGCAGUGCCCUUGAUACUGAUGGGCUUGAAUGGACUAGAGGUAGGCGGAAUGUGACAAGUAGCGGUGAAAUGCAUAGAUAUGUCACAGAACACCGAUUGCGAAGGCAGCUUACUAUGGUCCUAUUGACGCUGAGGCACGAAAGCGUGGGGAUCAAACAGG
rnacentral:rRNA from 1 species